AGGAGGUUUCUACUGGUGUGAAAAAGUUAUUGAGGGAAUCGUCUGGCCAGUACAGCGACUUCAGUAUUCUUUCCUCUUUAAAUUCUCAGGUGUGUAGAUGUGACUGGAGCUUACAGUGCUCUAAAGACGGAGCUUAACAUAAGCUUGACAGCAAUAGGCCUUUUGUGGACUACAACUGGCUUUAUUGCAAAGAGGAUUACACAUGGACCUGUGGAAGAAAGGGAAACAGGUAUAUGACAAGUGCACAACAAAUGGACUCACAACAAAGACAAGUGCACAAAGGAUGAUGAAUUGAAGGAUGGAACAAGUUUCAUGCAUGGUUUACUUUUGUGAAUCUUGUAAUUUUUUGUUUUUCAUUUUUGAAGUAAAAAAUGUUCAAGAUUAUAAAACUUUAUUAUGUUAUGCUUUCAAACUUAAGUUAGAACUAAGAUCUCAUGAAAUAGACACAUUCAGAGUUUGAAUUAGUUAUUGUUUAAUGUAAUACUUAUGGUUUAUCAAUCUAUUGAGAAUUAUAUUUUAUGAUUAA